AACUCGGUAGCUUAGUUGGAAAAGCACUUGUCUAGCGUAUAAGUUUCGUGUGCUCAACUCUCACCUGAGAUG
rnacentral:tRNA from 1 species